AACGCAAAUUGCGCCCUUUGGUAUUCCGAAGGGCAUGCCUGUUUGAGUGUCUUAUAAACCUCACCCCUAAUGUUUUAUUACAAUAGGUUGGUGCUUUGGGUGUUGCCAUUUACCUGGCUCGCCUUAAAUGACUAAGUGGAAUGCGUAAUAAGUUCUCGCAACCCUCCACUCUAAUACAAUUUAUAUUCUGACCUCAAAUCAGGUAGGACUACCCGCUGAACUUAA
rnacentral:misc_RNA from 2 species